CCCUGCAGAGGCUUGUGGGUGGUGCCCCCUCCCUUUCUGACCCCGAAGAAGCCUUCCUGCGCAUGUGCAGACAGGGCAGCUUCCCGGACCCCGGGAGGGGUCGUCUCAUCGCUGUAUCCCAGCAGAGCUCAGCUUCUGCCACCAGCUUUGUCCUUGGAGCGUCUGGGUGAGAACAAGCUUAGUGCUCCUCCACUGGGCGAACCCCAGCUGUCCAGCGCGGGGGCCCGUCCAUCUCCUGCGUCACCCUGAGGCUCUAGGGGAGGAGCCUCCCUGCCUCCCCUGCCGCCCCAGCCUCUGGUGCUGCCGGCGCCCGUGGUGUCCUGGGCCGGUAGCCGGCCUCUCCAUCCUCGGCCAGCGCAAGGGCGGAUGUGCUGCUUCACGAGUGUGAAGGUGGGGCAGGAUGCUGGGCCACAGGGACACACUUUCAGACGUCUGGGCUUUGCGGCACUGGGUAAAUUCUUACGCGUCCAAGAAGGGAUGAGGUUAUGUGCUGGUUGUUGUUUGAGGGACCGAGAGCUGGGGGCCUGCUGAGCGUUCAGAACAACGGGAUGGAUGAGUGAAAUGUGGUGGGCACAGUGGCGGGGACCAGAUACGCAGACAGCAACGUGGAAAGAUGGUGAAAGGCAGGGUUUGAUGAGAAAACGGAGAGGAAAUAGACUGAGAUGUGGAAACACAAUACCCCUGGUGGGACUGGAAAACACACACAAAACAAUCCUACACAUUUUGCAAGGAUACGUGUCUAUUUAAAGAUAAAUAUCAGACAUGCUGGAGAGGGGGCACCUGGGGAGGGGGGGUGCAGAAGAGUGAAAUGAACAGAAGUUGCCCAGACCGUGAUGACGUGUCUCAGAAUGAACAUCUGAUGAACUCACCUUUACGCUCGUUGUAAUGAGGUCCCAGUAACAAGAGAAGUGUCUUCCGGGGCUCGAGGCCACACCUGAGCUUCUCAGGGAGCGGGGGCUGCUUCCCACCCCCGGUUCUCAAAGUGGGGUCCCUGGAGCCGCGUCUGCAGCACCUGGGAACUUGUUAGAAACGCCAAUUAUUAGUAUGAGUAUUUUAAAGCACUUUUUAUUGUGACAAGAACUCUUAAUGUGAGAUCUACACUCUUCACACGUGUCUUUAGUGCUGAGAAGUCUGGUCAAGCACCCUGCCCAUUUUUCUAUUUAACUUUUGUUGAUUUGUAGAUGUUCUUUAUAUACAUUUUGGUUGUGGUUCUUCAUUAUAUGUAUUAAAAUAUCUCUUGCCCUAAAAACAAAGAAAAGAAAUGCAAAUUCUGGCCUCACGUGGCUUGGAAGCUCCAAGGGUGGGGUGGCCUGGCUCUCACACAGGCCCCCAGGGCGAGCGGCACUGGUUUGGAGGUGCCAGCGAGCUUGGGGCCCUCCCGCCGCGGGCUGGCAGGGGGCGCUGUCUCGGUCGGCGCCUGAAGUCGCGGUAGAGAGUUUGUUAAGAGGCAUCGCUUUGCCUACCGGUUGGCGUGGGGCAGACAUAGACCUGCUCUUACUGCAAGGGGCACGAGGUUGCCUAAAGCCCUUACGCUUCGCUUUGUGGGGUGGACCCGAAGUUAAAUAAGAGGACAUCCUGAGGGGGCUGGGGACGGGAAGACUGGAAACGUCCGGCUGGAGAUGGGGGGCGGCCAGCUGGGCGGUAAGGACGGGGUCAGGGCCCCACUAGCCAGACCCGAGGCUUUUAGGUCUGCCUUUGAGCAGCAAGGUGGGGUCUCGGGUCUGGAGGAUCCUGCCGCCCAUUUCCCCUUGCAGGGGCGGCGGCUCUCCCAGAGGAUGUCGUCACUCAUUCCCGCAGGCCUGAGCUUCCCCGGGACGAGGUGGGCCCUGCACGGAGUCGCAGAUACUGAGACCCCCACCAGGUGUCAGAAGUUAACUGUAUGCUGCCCACAAGCACGGAGACCCCAGACCGGCUGGAACCUGAAGGUCGAUGGUGCCGACUCCCGAUUACCUCACCACCAACCAAUCAGAAGAAGGCCCGUGGGCUGAUCACACCCUCCUCUUUGAACCGUUGCUAUAAAGCUCCUCCCUACCCCCUCCAGGUCGGGACACACAGUCUUGAGGGCAGGAGCCCGCUGUGGCCCCCUUUGCCUGGCAAAGCAAUCAAGCUAUUUCUUUUCUCCGUCACCCAGAACUCUGUCUCCGCAUUUCUAUUUGGCACUGGUGCACAGAGGCCGAGUUUCAGCAGCACUCCUCACCUGUCACUCCUCAGGCCCGAGGCCCCAGGCCAGCCUGCCUUUCUCUCUGCACCCGCCAGGGUCUCUCUCUGGAAUGUUCUGAGUUUCUGGCUGUACUUGUGGGAGGAGGGGAGGACGAGGGGCAGCCGGACUGCCGUGCGGUCCUGAUGGUGGGCACAGGGUCUUCCCUCCUGCAGCCCCACAGCCCUGCCCAGAAACAGGAGCGAGCCCGCCACAAGGAUGUCCCUGUUUCUGCAGGCACGCUGGGAGCAGAUCCCACUGCUGUGGCUUCCGGACCCUGCGCUGGACACCCCGUGAAGGCGGGGUCUCAGGUGAGAAAGGACAAAACCUGGAGCCCACUCAACUGUAACCUUCAGGAGGAAAACAACACUGGUUUUGAUAUUCAUCACUUGGAAGCUCGGGGCCAGGCGAAGCUGCGCUGAGAUGAGUGAUGCCUGCGGGGUGAGAACACUAUCAGCCACCAGUUAGUCGCUGGAGGAAGAUCACCCCGGCCACCUGCAUUAGCCCAGAUAAGCCAUUUGAUUUAAUUUUAAAAUGUCUAUCGGGUGCUUAAAAGAGCAAGAAGGAAUAACAAACAAGGCAUCUCCUCUUAUUUAUCCCUGAGCGGUUACCCCUGCGACUUAUCAAGGCUGUCAGUUGAAUUAACUUCGGCCUGGGCAGCAGUUCUUAUCAAGAAGAGGGAGUAGCACGGGUGGGCCGGACCCUGCAGGUCCCUCUCCGUUCACGCGGCUGUGGCUCUUCUGGGGCCCAGCGGCUUGGGGGGCUCAUGCUCCAUCGGCCCUAUCUCCAGCACGCAGCCCUCGGCCGCCCUCUCCUCUUCCCUCCUCAGACCCCGAGCCCCUGGGGCUGGUCCCUCCUCCUGCUUCCCGGAGCCCAAUGCACGUGAGGGCGUCCGAGCUUGACUGCGCUCCCCGGGUCCGGGCGCCCGAGGAACGGAACGUGGCCGCUCUAAACACCUCUGUGCGCUGGAGACCCCUCCUCGGAGUGGGGGACACGCAUCUCAGCCAGUUCGAGGGGCUCCUCAUCCCCCUCCCCUGGGCCCGAGUUCCCAUGGCCGCACAGGGCGUGACAGGAGCCAGAAGAGGGCCAGCCCGGUCGCGGGAGGUGACAGUGCCAGCAUGUGGCAGCCGUUCUCAGGGCCUGUGACCGUGAGGGGGAGACACCACAUCUUCGUCCUCAGUAACUUCUAAAUGGAAAGCAGUGUUUCCUUCAGUUAUAGACAUACUCGGUUCUCAUCACCUGCAGGAGUCCCGCGCUGUGAAGUCACAUGAACGCGGAAUUAGUGGUUACCAAACCUGCUCCAGGGAAAAUGCGGGGUUAGGUAGGGUCCUGGGAGCCUCUGGGCACGAUAUUUUGUCAACCGAUCGAUAGACAACUUUAUUCGAUGUGUUUCUGUUUAAAGACACCUCAUUUAAUCUACAUUGUUGACUCAUAACGUGGACCUCGGGCCCACAGCGCUGUGAUCACGCUGGAACCAAGCCCGUCUCACACGCACCUUCUCCGUGUCACGGCACAGCUUUCUUGUCCUUAGGACACUGGAUGGCACUUCAGCUCCGAACUUGGGGCCAUUUUAAACAGCAAAACCACCAACAAAACACAACAGUGCGAAAAGCCCUAAACAGAUGCAAAGGGCACCUGCUCCCGGCCCCAGAGCUGACUCGAGACAGCGUCACCUGGCUCCGCCCCCGCCGGGAACACGCACGUCGGGCCAGCCACGUCUCUCCUGCUCUGCCACGCUCUGAGCACCCACGAAAGCACCCAACUCUUGAUGUUGGGGUCACAGGGAGAUUUAACAAGCAGGUGAAUCACAGAUACAGAAUCUGCGAAUGACACGGGCGGCUGCGCGGCGGCAAACCUCGGCUUUGUUAGGAGCCUGUGGGUGGCGAUGUGUCAGCGGAAAUCUCAGAGUUUCAAUCCGCAACAUUGCCGCUGCUGCAGAAAUCUCCCGCCUCAUCACGGCUGUGACACUGAGGAGCUCUCGCGCCCGCGGCUGCAUCUUCGUAGCUGAAGCUCAAAUAAAUCAGGCGAUUCUGUCUGUCA